rnacentral:tRNA from 1 species
UGGCCCGUAGCUCAGCGGAAGAGCGCCUCUCUGCGAAGGAGGAGGUCGGCGGUUCGAAUCCGCCCGAGCCAG